GUACACUCCUGCGGGAGGCAGCAGUGGGGAAUUUUGGACAAUGGGCGAAAGCCUGAUCCAGCAAUGCCGCGUGAGUGAAGAAGGCCUUCGGGUUGUAAAGCUCUUUUGUCAGGGAAGAAACGGUGAAAGCUAAUAUCUUUUGCUAAUGACGGUACCUGAAGAAUAAGCACCGGCUAACUACGUGCCAGCAGCCGCGGUAAUACGUAGGGUGCAAGCGUUAAUCGGAAUUACUGGGCGUAAAGCGUGCGCAGGCGGUUUUGUAAGUCUGAUGUGAAAUCCCCGGGCUCAACCUGGGAAUUGCAUUGGAGACUGCAAGGCUAGAAUCUGGCAGAGGGGGGUAGAAUUCCACGUGUAGCAGUGAAAUGCGUAGAUAUGUGGAGGAACACCGAUGGCGAAGGCAGCCCCCUGGGUCAAGAUUGACGCUCAUGCACGAAAGCGUGGGGAGCAAACAGGAUUAGAUACCCCUGUAGUCCCAUGA
rnacentral:rRNA from 1 species